GCAGACACAUUACAGCCAAUCAGCAGCAGACCCUCCCUCCAAGACCCUCCCACCUCCUGGACAGCAUCCAUUUUACAUUCAUUGUGAAGCUGCAUUCUUAGUGAGCUGUCCAGGAGGUGGUAGGGUCUGGGAGGGAGGGUCUGCUGCUGAUUGGCUGGAAUGUGUCU
rnacentral:miRNA from 1 species